CUCGUUUAGAAACAAAUACUUGCAGCCGACUAUGGAUCAGAUUUAUCAUCUGUUAAAGAAGAAUUGGAUAGUCAACAACAUGAACACAAAAUUAUCGAUAAAUUUCACUCUAAAAUUGUAAAUGACGAGCGGCACCAAAUGAAAUUUUCUGGCGAAGAAUUGAACAAUUAUCAAGAUUUACGACGCCAAAUGUCUACGCUUUGUGGAUUGGCUUAUAGAGGCACGUCCAUCUUUCUCACCACCACGACGAGACUUACGUCCACCAGACAGUGACCCAGGAGCAACACAGUAUUAUAGCCAUAGACUCGAUGCACUAAAUAUAAAAUACGAUAGAUUAUUAGAACAAUUAUCGCAGAGGCUUAAAACAGCUAUCGAAGUAAAUGGCAGCGAUGGCUUGAAACAAAUACUUGCAGCCGACUAUGGAUCAGAUUUAUCAUCUGUUAAAGAAGAAUUGGAUAGUCAACAACAUGAACACAAAAUUAUCGAUAAAUUUCACUCUAAAAUUGUAAAUGACGAGCGGCACCAAAUGAAAUUUUCUGGCGAAGAAUUGAACAAUUAUCAAGAUUUACGACGCCAAAUGUCUACGCUUUGUGGAUUGGCUUAUAGAGGCACGUCCAUCUUUCUCACCACCACGACGAGACUUACGUCCACCAGACAGUGACCCAGGAGCAACACAGUAUUAUAGCCAUAGACUCGAUGCACUAAAUAUAAAAUACGAUAGAUUAUUAGAACAAUUAUCGCAGAGGCUUAAAACAGCUAUCGAAGUAAAUGGCAGCGAUGGCUUG